rnacentral:rRNA from 1 species
AGAACGAACGCUGGCGGCAGGCUUAACACAUGCAAGUCGAACGCUCCGCAAGGGGAGUGGCAGACGGGUGAGUAACGCGUGGGAACAUACCCCUCGGUUCGGAAUAACUCAGGGAAACUUGAGCUAAUACCGGAUACGGUCGAGAGGCGAAAGAUUUAUCGCCGAGGGAUUGGCCCGCGUCCGAUUAGCUAGUUGGUGAGGUAAUGGCUCACCAAGGCGACGAUCGGUAGCUGGUCUGAGAGGAUGAUCAGCCACAUUGGGACUGAGACACGGCCCAAACUCCUACGGGAGGCAGCAGUGGGGAAUAUUGGACAAUGGGCGCAAGCCUGAUCCAGCCAUGCCGCGUGAGUGAUGAAGGCCCUAGGGUUGUAAAGCUCUUUUGUGCGGGAAGAUAAUGACGGUACCGCAAGAAUAAGCCCCGGCUAACUUCGUGCCAGCAGCCGC